rnacentral:misc_RNA from 1 species
CUCUGAUCGGAAAUUUUCUCAUUUUCUCCUACUUUCCCAUUUGCCAAACAAAUUCAAUCAAACUCCCUACAAACACUCCCCACACAGGCCAGAUUAAAAUUAUUAUGCAUUCCCAAGAGAUCAGUAACGCUGACAAUAACAGCGAAAUCGCUUCUCAUUCUUCUCCAUCUGUUUCAGUUCCAGACUGGGAUCAACCCCUCACAGAGGAAGAGCUCCAAGCCAUUGAUGCUAUUGAAGCCGCAUUUCAACGGUCCACAUCUGCGAAUGGUACUCCUUCAUCAUCCGUUAUCAGGAAACGACGUUCACAUCCCCAAAAUGACCUAGAUAUGAAGAAAACUUGCCGCCAGUUGCCCAAUUCCGUUCUGGGUCUCUGUAGACCCUUUUCACUAUCUCCUUGUCAAGCUAACAUAAAGACGAGAUAUCCUACACUAAAGUUUGGUGGUCACAUCUUGUAUAGUAGAACUCCAGUGGAAGUAGAAAAGGCUGCAAGGGAGCUUUUACAGAGUCUUGAAGCUAAACAAGGAGAAAUGGGUCAAGUUAUUGUGGGAUUUGAUAUUGAAUGGAGACCAUCAUUUAGAAGAGGUGUUUUGCCUGGAAAAGUUGCAGUUAUGCAGUUAUGCUGCGGCACUGAUUAUUGUCAUGUGAUGCAUAUUUUUCAUUCUGGAAUCACAGAGACACUGCAGUUUCUUCUUGAGAAUUCUACACUGCUAAAAGUUGGAGUUGGCAUUCACAAUGAUUCUGUGAAGUUUUUUAAAGACUAUAAAAUAUCUGUUAAAGCAGUGGAGGACCUUUCUUAUCUGGCAAAUAAAAAACUUGGCGGGGAACCUAAAAGUUGGGGUCUUCAAUCUCUAACUGAAAAGCUCAUUUCUAAAGAGCUUCAAAAGUCGAACAAAAUUAGACUGGGAAACUGGGAAGUAGAUGUUUUAUCAAAGAAUCAACUAGAGUAUGCUGCCACAGAUGCUUUUGCUUCUUGGCAGCUUUACCAGGUGUUAAAAAGUCUCCCAGAUGCAAAGGAUGCAACUGCUGAAAGAAGUGAGGAAGUGAGAGUUGUCACACAACAAUGAGGUCUGCUGUUAUGAUCACCUAAUCAUGCAUAUCUAUCUGUUGCAAAAUGAAUUAAAUUUUUAGAUUUUGCCACCAUUAUUCGUUGUAGAAGGUCUAUUCAGAAUAAUUAUUGCUUCAUAUGAAAAUUGAUCUUACAUUUGUAUCAUUGGCACAUAGGGGGGUUUAAACUUCGACUUCACUAGUCUUAUGAGGAGAUAAUAACAUAUUUAUAUAUAUUGUAGGUUAAUAAUACAUGAGCUAAACUAAAAAAGUACUCCAGUUCAAUGGGAUUUGAGCUUGAUAUUUAUCAAUUAAAGUAUCAAACCUUUAACAGUUUAGCAUAUAAAGCAAGGGUUAGUACUAUGAGGAUGGUCAUGGUCAUUGUCUUGACUUUUCAGCAUAAUUUAUAGCAUGUCUUGACAUGAGAAGUUCGUUUGAUUAACCCUGAAUAACAUUUGUUUUUCAUGAACAUUUUCUUUGGAAUUGGAUUGGACCACCAUCCGUACCAAGCUGGGCAUAGGAGGAGGGAAGAAAUUGGCUAGAAUUUAGAAAGGCAGAAUAACGUAGUGAGAUACAAAAGGGACAUGUUCACUUUCCUGAAAUGUGCCAACUUAUUAUUUUGCAAGGGCAAAAUCUUUGGAAUAGUGAUGGGUGUUAAUCAAGAUCCAAAAUGAACAUCCGAAUUUCUCGGUAGUUAUCAAGAGAAAAUCCAACAUCCCACAUGCCCAGCACAUGGUUAAAGAGACAAAAGGUUAUGUCCAAUCUCUUGUUGGCUUUUGCCAUGCCAAAAAGCUGAUUAAAUUCCAACAUAUUUAGUUCUUGUGUAUACAGUUUAGCUGUAAAAUGGAUUUCAUUCUUUUUCUUUUCCUUGUUUUCGUACUUUAUUCUGGUGUCCAAGGGCUUCAAAUCCAAUAUGGUGCCAAAAAAAUUAAAAAAAAAAUGAAG